UACGGGGGGAGCAAGCGUUGUUCGGAUUUACUGGGCGUAAAGGGCGUGUAGGCGGUUUGUUAAGUCAUGUGUGAAAUCCCUCGGCUCAACCGGGGAACGACGCAUGAAACUGGCAGCUAGAGUACCAAAGAGGGUCGCGGAAUUCCCGGUGUAGAGGUGAAAUUCGUAGAUAUCGGGAGGAACACCGGUGGCGAAGGCGGCGACCUGGGUCGACACUGACGCUGAGGCGCGAAAGCGUGGGAGCAAACGGG
rnacentral:rRNA from 1 species